GGAAAUGAGGGCCUUAAUCAGAUCUGUCCAUCCACUCCUGACACAUUUACAGCCACAGCGCAAGGCCCCAGGGCACAGGCAGGAAAAGAGAGCAACUUCCGGCCGUCCUGGCGCCCCAUUCCAGUGGAGGGGGAAAGGCAGGAAGCAGAAGGAUCACUGGGAACUCGGGGAGUAGAUAAGCGGGGGCCGCUGGGGAGGAAACUGGGCCAGGUGGAAGAGGUUGUUGAGAAGGAACUGGCGCUGGAUGUACUUUGCAGGGCAGCUGCCGGACGAGGAGGCGAAGCGGGUCUCUGGCUGGAGCCCCUUGCGGAUGAGCUGCCCUGGGCCAAGGUGUGGGAUGGGAGCUGUUACAGGCACUGGGCCUUGAGUUCCUGUCAGACACCAGGGAUCAAACUCAGGACCUUGUGCUUGCAAGGCAGGUGCGGUGCCACUGAGCUAAAUCCCCAGCCCAAAAGCUGCCUUUCUGUUGGAUGGUGCUCGGCAGCAGUGUUUCCUAUAUUUUUGAUCACACCUUGUAAAGACUCUCGGGAAAGAGGACUCCAGAACUGCUUCAGAACAUGGUAAGAACCAUGGGAUAAGUGUGUUGGAAGUGAGGGUGAGCUUUUUGAAGGGGCAAUGUGUCUUUUUCUGUAAUAAAGUGUUUUUUGUUGUUGUUUUUGGUACCAGGGUUCAAACUCAAGACCUUGUGCUUGUGAGGCAGCCACGAUGCCAUGGAACUAAAUCCCCAGCCCUGUAAUAAAGUUUUAAAAAUAAACUUUCACCCUGUAUGUUGAACACUACUUGUACAUUUUUAUUCACUUUCUGGAUGUAGAGAUUUUAAAGCAUGGUGCUCUUGUCUAGAUGUUUGUGUCAUCCUCAAAGUGCAGAUGU
rnacentral:lncRNA from 1 species